CAAGUCGAACGGGAAAGCUCCCUUCGGGGGGUGAGUAUAGUGGCGAACGGGUGAGUAACGCGUGGGAAACCUGCCCUUAAGUGGGGGAUAAGAGGCCGAACGGCCUGCUAAUACCGCAUGUGUCCCCGGAAUCGCAUGGUUCCGGGAAGAAAGGUGGCCUCUCCUUGGAAGCUAUCGCUUAAGGAUGGUCCCGCGUCCCAUUAGCUUGUUGGUGGGGUAAUGGCCUACCAAGGCGACGAUGGGUAGCCGGCCUGAGAGGGCGUCCGGCCACACUGGGACUGAGAGGCGGCCCAGACUCCUACGGGAGGCAGCAGUCGAGAAGCUUCGGCAAUGGGCGAAAGCCUGACCGAGCGACGCCGCGUGAGCGAUGAAGGUCCUAUGGAUUGUAAAGCUCUGUCAGAUUGGGAAGAAAACUUCGCGAUUAAUUCCCGCGAAGCUUGACGGUACCAUCAGAGGAAGCACCGGCUAACUCCGUGCCAGCAGCCGCGGUAAUACGGAGGGUGCGAGCGUUGUUCGGAUUCACUGGGUAUAAAGGGUGCGUAGGCGGCCUCGUAAGUCAGGGGUGAAAUAUGACGGCUCAACCGUCAAACUGCCCCUGAAACUGCAAGGCUUGAGUCCGGGAGAGGGAGGUGGAAUUCCUGGUGUAGCGGUGAAAUGCGUAAAUAUCAGGAGGAACACCGGUGGCGAAGGCGGCCUUCUGGUCCGGUACUGAC
rnacentral:rRNA from 1 species